GUCUUUUUGUUAAUAAUUUAAAGUCUGACCUGCCCACUGAAAAGAUUUUAAAGGCCGCAGUAUUUUGACUGUGCUAAGGUAGCAUAAUCAUUAGUUUCUUAAUUAGAAGCUGGAAUGAAUGGUUGGAUGAGAGAAUGACUGUCUCAAGUAAAUUUUGAAUGAAUUUUAUUUUUAAGUUAAAAAGCUUAAAUGGAAUUGAAAGACGAGAAGACCCUGUAGAGUUUUAUAAAUAAAAUAAAUAUGAUUUUUGGAAUUUUUAUUAAUAUUUUUUUUAUUUAUUUGGUUGGGGUGAUUGAAAAAUAAAAAAAACUUUUUUUUUGAUAAAAACAUUAAUUUAUGAAAAAUUGAUCCAUUAUUAGUGAUUAUAAGAUUAAAUUACCUUAGGGAUAACAGCGUAAUUAUUUUUUAGAGUUCAAAUCGAAAAAAUAGAUUGCGACCUCGAUGUUGGAUUAAAAUUAAAUUUUGGUGUAGAAGCUAAAAUAUUAGGUCUGUUCGACCUUUAAAAUUUUACAUGA
rnacentral:rRNA from 1 species